ensembl:misc_RNA Metazoa_SRP Metazoan signal recognition particle RNA
GCCAGGCGUGGUGGCACACACCUGUAGUCCCAGAUACUCAGGAGGCUGAAGCAGGAGGAUCACCUGGGACCAGGAGUUCUGGGCUGUAGUACCCUAUGCCAAUGCAGUGUCCACACUAAGUUUGGCAUCAAUUUGGUGACCUCCUGAGGAUGGGAGACCACCAGGUUGCCUAAGGAGGGGUGAACUGGCCCAUGUUGGAAAUGGAGCAGGUCAAAACUCCUGUGUUAAUCACUGGUGGGAUCAUACCUGUGCAUAGCCACUGCACUCCAGCCUGGGCAACAUAGUGAGACCCUAUCUCUU